GACGAACGCUGGCGGCGUGCUUAACACAUGCAAGUCGAACGGAAAGGCCCUGCUUUUGUAGGGUGCUCGAGUGGCGAACGGGUGAGUAACACGUGAGUAACCUGCCCUUGACUUUGGGAUAACUUCAGGAAACUGGGGCUAAUACCGGAUAGGAGCUCCUGCUGCAUGGUGGGGGUUGGAAAGUUUCGGCGGUUGGGGAUGGACUCGCGGCUUAUCAGCUUGUUGGUGGGGUAGUGGCUUACCAAGGCUUUGACGGGUAGCCGGCCUGAGAGGGUGACCGGCCACAUUGGGACUGAGAUACGGCCCAGACUCCUACGGGAGGCAGCAGUGGGGAAUAUUGCACAAUGGGCGGAAGCCUGAUGCAGCAACGCCGCGUGCGGGAUGACGGCCUUCGGGUUGUAAACCGCUUUCGCCUGUGACGAAGCGCGAGUGACGGUAAUGGGUAAAGAAGCACCGGCUAACUACGUG
rnacentral:rRNA from 1 species